rnacentral:rRNA from 1 species
CACCUCUAGCAUUUCCAGUAUUAGAGGCACUGCCUGCCCAGUGACAUCUGUUUAAACGGCCGCGGUAUCCUAACCAUGCAAAGGUAGCAUAAUCACUUGUUCCCUAAAUAGGGACUUGUAUGAAUGGCCACACGAGGGUUUUACUGUCUCUUACUUCCAAUCAGUGAAAUUGACCUUCCCGUGAAGAGGCGGGAAUGACUAAAUAAGACGAGAAGACCCUAUGGAGCUUUAAUUAACUGAUUCACAAAAAACAACACACAAACCUAACCUUCAGGGACAACAAAACUUUUGAUUGAAUCAGCAAUUUCGGUUGGGGUGACCUCGGAGAACAAAACAACCUCCGAGUGAUUUAAAUCCAGACUAACCAGUCAAAAUAUAUAAUCACUUAUUGAUCCAAACCAUUGAUCAACGGAACAAGUUACCCUAGGGAUAACAGCGCAAUCCUAUUCCAGAGUCCAUAUCGACAAUUAGAGUUUACGACCUCGAUGUUGGAUCAAGACAUCCUAAUGGUGCAACCGCUAUUAAGGGUUCGUUUGUUCAACGAUUAAAGUCUU